rnacentral:rRNA from 1 species
UACGUAGGGGGCAAGCGUUGUCCGGAAUCAUUGGGCGUAAAGAGCGUGUAGGCGGCUCGGUAAGUCCGCUCUGAAAGCCCGGGGCUCAACCCCGGGAGGCGGGCGGAUACUGUCGGGCUAGAGUCCGGAAGAGGCGAGUGGAAUUCCUGGUGUAGCGGUGAAAUGCGUAGAUAUCAGGAGGAACACCGGUGGCGAAGGCGGUUCUCUGGGCCUUACCUGACGCUGAGGAGCGAAAGCGUGGGGAGCGAACAGG